GAUAAAAUGCUACUACCUCUAUCCCCAAAUAUAAGGGACUUUGCCUAUGUAAUUACAUAGGCAAAAUCCUUAUAUUUGAGGAUGGAGGUAGUAUCAGCUUAGG
rnacentral:pre_miRNA from 1 species